UUUGGUAUGUUGUCAAUAAUUACAAUAAACAAUUCAAAAAUGCCGAAGGGAAAAGACUUGUUGAGAUGGCGGCUUACGAGAAUCAACAAUGGAAGUUCCAACACAUCAUGAGCCGAAUUAGGGAGUGGGAUUGACAAACAGAUGACUGGUGUGACUAGAUUCGAAGGGAGAAAUGGAUGAAGGCUUAUGAUGGCAAGAAGAGAUAUGGAUCGAUGAUAAAGAAUUUAAUUGAAUCGGUUAAUGGGAUGUUGAAGGAUUUUCGUGCUCGGCCAAUAACAGCUAUGGUGGAUAAGAUAUUCUACCGGUUGGUCCACUGUUUUGACAUGCGAAGAACGACAUACGGGAGGCA